rnacentral:lncRNA from 1 species
UGCUAACUUCUAUCAUUUCAUACAACAAUCACACACUUUCCAGGAUUCUCAUAAAAAUCACAAUCAGCCAACUCACAAAUCACCAUUUAUAUCUAAAAACCUUCAAUUUAGGAAGAAGAUAUGAAUUCAGAGAGACUUCCUCUUCUGGUUCACAACGAGAGCAAUAAAUUUCACAGCGGGGCCAGAUAUCAUUCAACAUCCCUUUCAGUAUCCGUCUCUCUUAAAUUCCACAAACGGCCACAAAGCCAGACUUUCCUUCUUAUCACCACUCAGUAAUCUGCGCUCCAUAUCUCCCCAAACUUGGCAACUUCUCCACCUCCCAAUAACCAUCUCUGCAAACCCAUUUCCCAAUUCAUCAUUUACUUACUCCUUAUCUCUAACUACUUCCAUUUUCACUCU